CCCAACUAUCCCUAUUAAUCAUUACGGUGGUCCUAGACCAACAAAAUAGAACCAACGUCCUAUUCUAUUAUUCCAUGCUAAUCUAUUCAAGCAAAAGCCCGCUUUAAACACUCUAAUUUUUUCAAGGUAAUGGUCCUGGUUCCCCGACACACCCAAUAAAGGGCAUACCGGCUCACCAGAAGGAUAGACCCGACAGCAGAACAGUACUCGCCAGAGACGGACCGUCCGGUCAGGCCUAAAAUUCAACUACGAGCUUUUUAACUGCAACAACUUUAAUAUACGCUAUUGGAGCUGGAAUUACCGCGGCUGCUGGCACCAGACUUGCCCUCCAA
rnacentral:misc_RNA from 1 species